rnacentral:rRNA from 1 species
UGGGGAAUAUUGCACAAUGGGGGAAACCCUGAUGCAGCGACGCCGCGUGAGUGAAGAAGUAUUUCGGUACGUAAAGCUCUAUCAGCAGGGAAGAAAAUGACGGUACCUGACUAAGAAGCCCCGGCUAACUACGUGCCAGCAGCCGCGGUAAUACGUAGGGGGCAAGCGUUAUCCGGAUUUACUGGGUGUAAAGGGAGCGUAGACGGCAGCGCAAGUCUGGAGUGAAAUCCCAUGGCUUAACCAUGGAACUGCUUUGGAAACUGUGCAGCUGGAGUGCAGGAGAGGUAAGCGGAAUUCCUAGUGUAGCGGUGAAAUGCGUAGAUAUUAGGAGGAACACCAGUGGCGAAGGCGGCCUGCUGGACUGCAACUGACGUUGAGGCCCGAAAGCGUGGGGAGCAAACAGG